CUGACACCUGCAGAGGAUUCAAACAAAAAUCCUGAACCUGGAUCUGAUUCACGUUUCAUGGAAGAGGCCCGGCCGCGUCAGGUCGCGUCAUGUUGACGCACCGCGGUCGCGUCAGGACGCGUCAGGUCGCGUCAUGUUGACGCACCGCGGUCGCGUCAGGACGCGUCAGGUCGCGUCAGGUCGCGUCAUGUUGACGCACCGCGGUCGCGUCAGGACGCGUCAGGUCGCGUCAGGUCGCGUCAGGUCGCGUCAUGUUGACGCACCGCGGUCGCGUCAGGACGCGUCAGGACGCGUCAGGUCGCGUCAG